rnacentral:rRNA from 1 species
CACGUAGGGGGCGAGCGUUGUCCGGAUUUAUUGGGCGUAAAGAGCUCGUAGGCGGCUCAGUAAGUCGGGUGUGAAAUCUCAGAGCUCAACUCUGAAACUGCACUCGAUACUGCUCUGCUUGAGGACUGGAGAGGAGACUGGAAUUCACGGGUGUAGCAGUGAAAUGCGUAGAUAUCGUGAGGAAGACCAGUGGCGAAGGCGGGUCUCUGGGACAGUUCCUGACGGCUGAGGCGCGAAGGCCAGGGGAGCAAACGGG